rnacentral:tRNA from 1 species
GCGCGGGUGUUGUAAUUGGUAGCCAAGUUUGACUUAAAAUCAAAUGUCUUUACGGACGUGCGGGUUCAAGUCCCGCCCCGCGCACCA